rnacentral:lncRNA from 1 species
GACGACCCCCUCCUCCUCGGCCCUCUCGCUCAGAAAAUUAGUUAAUCACCCCCCGGCUUGAGCUGGACAGCCAAUCCGCGAGCCCGGGCGGGCCGCGGCCGCGCACAUGGUUAAUUGAUUCGUAGCCGGCCGGCGGGCUGGUCGCCCGGCGCGUGUGAGCGGAGUUAAAGUCCGACGGGUCGCCUUUUCGCCGCGCAGCCGGGCAGGGUAGAGCGCGCCGGUGCGCCCGACGGGGCCUCUUGUCGCGGCACCCGCGUCGUCUUGUCACGAGCCCAAGGCCUAGGAAUAUCCCACUUGUCCUCGCCGAGCUUUGGGGUGGACGGUCCUAAUCCGGCGUGCGGAAGCUAAAAACCACGCGCGCCCGAGGUUCGACGCGCCAAGCUGCGUCACGAUCCCAUGACCGGCCGCCGGCCGGUAUUGCAUUGCGCGGGCUUCUCUUUUAUCAUCAUCAUGCGACGCCGUACCCUUCGAACGGCGCCCGGUCGAUGGAUGCUCGGCCGCAUCGAUCGCGCGCGUACAGCGUACUACGUGGCCGAGCGACGAACAGGAAUCCGUGUUUGGGCCAUCGGUUUCCAUGGCAAUCUAGUAGCGGCGUGCCGGCGUGCUAUAGAUUGUCGCGUCUUUUGUCGCUCCCCCCGUCACUACCUGUUCCUGUGCCGGUGCCGACACGGUAGCGUCGUCAUUUCGCUUGCCCUCCGUCGUAUUGUCACGACGAGUCGAUCGAUCCUGUGCAUGGAACAAGUGAUAGAAAAAACACACAAGAUCAAACAAUGGAAAAGCGUACCCGUACCAAGAGUCUCUUUAUGAGAGCAUGAUUCCCCAGGUGACCAAAUUACAUGUCCCACAGUAUAAGUUCUCUUCAAAUCAACAGGAUUAAAAAAAACAACUCCAUCGCGUGGAAGAAAAAAGAAAGAAAGGCCCCCGAUUUGUCCCGAGCUCGCGCGCUCGCCGCAGAAGCGACACGGCGCGGGGGCGACCGGUUCAAAGCAAAGCUCGCUCACACUCCUCGCCGUAGCGUAUCCAUCCAUCCCCCUCGCCAUUAUCACCCGCAACAGGCGGGGUAUAGAUCCGAGCUCCCUUUUCUCUCUAAUCGUCCAACGCAAAUGAUGCCGAGCACCCAACCCACCCGACGGCACCGCCUGGGAGGAGCCAGAUAAACAAAAUAAAAAACGGGCGGGGGCGCGCGGUGCCAGCACGCCAUCCAUUGGCACUGGCACCCUUUUGUCACAUGCCCAUUGUGCCCGGGUCUUCUAGUCCACCGGCGACCGCACUGUGCCGGGAUGCGGGAUGCUUUGACUUUCUCGCCGGUUCUGCUGUCUCCGGGCGUGCGUUGCGUUCGAAUGAGCUGCUGCAGCUGCACCGUACUGCACGCUCGAAUGAAGCCACAGCGUUGCCCGCAAGGAACGAACCAAAAGCUCCCCGUCCCUUCCCGUGUCUGGCUUGUUUUUACACGGGAGAGAGAGAGAGAUCUUUUACCGCUGUGCUGCCCGUGAACGUGGUGAUGCCUUGCCUGCUUCAGCGGCCAUGUGCGCGGUGAAAAAAGGAGACCGACCCACUGCUCUCAUGCCUACUAGCCAGGAGCUACAGCACGGCAGAAAAGUACAAAUGCUCUGAGUUGCUCGCAUGCGUCCGGCGGACGGGAGGCCGGAAAGGAGUCGAGCCCCCAAAAACAAAUCCAGGAGCGCCCCGGCGUGGGGCUCCGGCCCCUCUCAUUGGUGGACAGAACAGCGCCAGCGGCAGAGGACUCCAAGUCAAAGCGCGCGCGCGAGCGAGCGAGCGAGGCGAGGAGGGAGAACCGGAGAAGUGGACGAGGUGGGUGCGUGGGGCGGCGUGGCGCCCCCAUUAAUUGCCAUGUAAAGGCCGUGCCGUGCCGACCUUGUCCCGCACGGGAUCCAUCCACCUUCCACAGUUCCACCCAAGCAAGCGCGGGGUUGUGUG